CCAGACAGCCAGGAUGUUGGCUUAGAAGCAGCCAUCAUUUAAAGAAAGCGUAAUAGCUCACUGGUCGAGUCGGCCUGCGCGGAAGAUGUAACGGGGCUAAACCAUGCACCGAAGCUGCGGCAGCGACACUAUGUGUUGUUGGGUAGGGGAGCGUUCUGUAAGCCUGUGAAGGUGUACUGUGAGGUAUGCUGGAGGUAUCAGAAGUGCGAAUGCUGACAUAAGUAACGAUAAAGCGGGUGAAAAGCCCGCUCGCCGGAAGACCAAGGGUUCCUGUCCAACGUUAAUCGGGGCAGGGUGAGUCGACCCCUAAGG
rnacentral:rRNA from 2 species